rnacentral:tmRNA from 1 species
GGGGGCGUUAUGGCUUCGACGGGGGUAAGAUGGGUUUGAUAAGCGAGUGGAGUGAAGCAUGGGUACUCCUUAAUCAAGUAUGCACUAAAUAUAAACGCAGAAGAUAAUUUUGCAUUAGCUGCUUAAUGCAGCUCGUUCUACCUAAGAGUCCUACGGCUUAGGAUAGGGCGUCGAUUAGUAGGGAACCGAGUCUUGCAAAGCUUUGAGCAAGAAACGGAAUAAAUGAAGCUACUAAAGCAAGUAGCCUGUCUAUGGGCGACUUGUGGAGGGAAUGAUUAAAAUAUAGACUGCACUCGGAGAAAGUCAGGCUGGUCUACUUUCGGACAGGGGUUCGAUACCCCUCGCCUCCACCA